rnacentral:rRNA from 1 species
GACGAACGCUGGCGGCGUGCUUAACACAUGCAAGUCGAACGGUAAGGCCCUUCGGGGUACACGAGUGGCGAACGGGUGAGUAACACGUGGGUGAUCUGCCCUGCACUUCGGGAUAAGCCUGGGAAACUGGGUCUAAUACCGGAUAGGACUCCUGGCUUCAUGGUUGGGGGUGGAAAGCUUUUGCGGUGUGGGAUGGGCCCGCGGCCUAUCAGCUUGUUGGUGGGGUAAUGGCCUACCAAGGCGACGACGGGUAGCCGGCCUGAGAGGGUGACCGGUCACACUGGGACUGAGAUACGGCCCAGACUCCUACGGGAGGCAGCAGUGGGGAAUAUUGCACAAUGGGCGCAAGCCCGAUGCAGCGACGCCGCGUGAGGGAUGACGGCCUUCGGGUUGUAAACCUCUUUCAGCUAUGACGAAGCGCAAGUGACGGUAGUAGCGGAAGAAGGACCGGCCAACUACGUGCCAGCAGCCGCAGUAA